rnacentral:tRNA from 1 species
GCCGGGGUGGCUCAGUCGAUUGAGCGUCUGACUUCGGCUCAGGUCAUGAUCUCCUGGUCCGUGAGUUCGAGCCCCACGUCGGGCU